rnacentral:rRNA from 2 species
AAGCAGAGGGGGCUUAGUGGUGGGGUGACUGCGUACCUUUUGUAUAAUGGGUCAGCGACUUAUAUUCUGUAGCAAGGUUAACCGAAUAGGGGAGCCGGAGGGAAACCGAGUCUUAAUUGGGCGUUAAGUUGCAGGGUAUAGACCCGAAACCCGGUGAUCUAGCCAUGGGCAGGUUGAAGGUUGGGUAACACUAACUGGAGGACCGAACCGACUAAUGUUGAAAAAUUAGCGGAUGACCUGUGGCUGGGGGUGAAAGGCCAAUCAAACCGGGAGAUAGCUGGUUCUCCCCGAAAGCUAUUUAGGUAGCGCCUCGUGAAUUCAUCUCCGGGGGUAGAGCACUGUUUCGGCUAGGGGGUCAUCCCGACUUACCAACCCGAUGCAAACUGCGAAUACCGGAGAAUGUUAUCACGGGAGACACACGGCGGGUGCUAACGUCCGUCGUGAAGAGGGAAACAACCCAGACCGCCAGCUAAGGUCCCAAAGUCAUGGUUAAGUGGGAAACGAUGUGGGAAGGCCCAGACAGCCAGGAUGUUGGCUUAGAAGCAGCCAUCAUUUAAAGAAAGCGUAAUAGCUCACUGGUCGAGUCGGCCUGCGCGGAAGAUGUAACGGGGCUAAACCAUGCACCGAAGCUGCGGCAGCGACACUGUGUGUUGUUGGGUAGGGGAGCGUUCUGUAAGCCGUUGAAGGUGUGUCGUGAGGCAUGCUGGAGGUAUCAGAAGUGCGAAUGCUGACAUAAGUAACGAUAAUGCGGGUGAAAAACCCGCACGCCGGAAGACCAAGGGUUCCUGUCCAACGUUAAUCGGGGCAGGGUGAGUCGACCCCUAAGGCGAGGCCGAAAGGCGUAGUCGAUGGGAAACGGGUUAAUAUUCCCGUACUUGGUGUUACUGCGAAGGGGGGACGGAGAAGGCUAUGUUGGCCGGGCGACGGUUGUCCCGGUUUAAGCGUGUAGGUGUGUGUUCCAGGUAAAUCCGGUUCACUUUAACACUGAGGCGUGAUGACGAGGCACUACGGUACUGAAGCAACAAAUGCCCUGCUUCCAGGAAAAGCCUCUAAGCAUCAGGUAACAUCAAAUCGUACCCCAAACCGACACAGGUGGUCAGGUAGAGAAUACCAAGGCGCUUGAGAGAACUCGGGUGAAGGAACUAGGCAAAAUGGUGCCGUAACUUCGGGAGAAGGCACGCUGACA